rnacentral:rRNA from 1 species
AGAGUUUGAUCCUGGCUCAGAACGAACGCUGGCGGCAGGCCUAACACAUGCAAGUCGAACGAUAAGCCACCUUCGGGUGGUGGACAGUGGCAGACGGGUGAGUAACGCGUGGGAACGUGCCUUUCGGUUCGGAAUAACUCAGGGAAACUUGGGCUAAUACCGGAUACGCCCUUCGGGGGAAAGAUUUAUCGCCGAAAGAUCGGCCCGCGUCGGAUUAGCUUGUUGGUGGGGUAAAAGCCCACCAAGGCGACGAUCCGUAGCUGGUCUGAGAGGAUGAUCAGCCACACUGGGACUGAGACACGGCCCAGACUCCUACGGGAGGCAGCAGUGGGGAAUAUUGGACAAUGGGCGCAAGCCUGAUCCAGCCAUGCCGCGUGGGUGAAGAAGGCCCUAGGGUUGUAAACCCCUUUCAGCGGGGAAGAUAAUGACGGUACCCGCAGAAGAAGCCCCGGCUAACUCCGUGCCAGCAGCCGCGGUAAUACGGAGGGGGCUAGCGUUGUUCGGAAUUACUGGGCGUAAAGCGCGCGUAGGCGGACUUUCAAGUCAGGGGUGAAAUCCCGAGGCUCAACCUCGGAACUGCCUCUGAUACUGUAAGUCUUGAGACCGAGAGAGGUGAGUGGAAUUCCUAGUGUAGAGGUGAAAUUCGUAGAUAUUAGGAAGAACACCAGUGGCGAAGGCGGCUCACUGGCUCGGUACUGA